rnacentral:rRNA from 1 species
UUGACCUCAAAUCAGGUAGGACUACCCGCUGAACUUAAGCAUAUCAAUAAGCGGAGGAAAAGAAACUAACAAGGAUUCCCCUAGUAACUGCGAGUGAAGCGGGAAAAGCUCAAAUUUGAAAUCUGGCAGUCUUUUUUUU